GAUGAACGCUGGCGGCGUGCCUAAUACAUGCAAGUCGAGCGAACGGACGAGAAGCUUGCUUUUCUGAUGUUAGCGGCGGACGGGUGAGUAACACGUGGAUAACCUACCUAUAAGACUGGGAUAACUUCGGGAAACCGGAGCUAAUACCGGAUAAUAUUUUGAACCGCAUGGUUCAAAAGUGAAAGACGGUCUUGCUGUCACUUAUAGAUGGAUCCGCGCUGCAUUAGCUAGUUGGUAAGGUAACGGCUUACCAAGGCAACGAUGCAUAGCCGACCUGAGAGGGGGAUCGGCCACACGGGAACUGAGACACGGCCCAGACCCCUACGGGAGGCAGCAGUAGGGAAUCUUCCGCAAUGGGCGAAAGCCUGACGGAGCAACGCCGCGUGAGUGAUGAAGGUCUUCGGAUCGUAAAACUCUGUUAUUAGGGAAGAACAUAUGUGUAAGUAACUGUGCACAUCUUGACGGUACCUAAUCAGAAAGCCACGGCUAACUACGUG
rnacentral:rRNA from 1 species